rnacentral:lncRNA from 1 species
CGAGCUUCCCAUUCCGAAGAUAAUAAGUGAAGUGCUUCUGACGUUUGGAAUUUCAUUGUCGCAGCUCCCGGCGGGAUUCUUCGUGAUCCUGCGGGGUUUCAUGAACAUUUGUUGGGGGCUGAACAUUGCUGCGACGGCGAGCUUGUUCUUGUACUUCUACAAGCUCACCAAAGAGAAGUCUGGAUCUGGUCGUUUUGGGUUCACACGACGACAUUUCGACAAGAACAUCGUCGAUGAGCUCCCCACGAACUUUGGAUCCAACUGGAAAAAGGAAUUCAUUUUCAUAACCUCUGAGUUUCUCCCUGGGAGUCGGGAGAUAUGGAACGAUCCGAAUCGAGUGCACAUGAACGCCUCGAUUGAGAUGAGCACGAGGGACAUAGAAGCCUCGGAUCGUAUAGCGCG